AUGAGGCUGGAGAGGGUGGUGUUCGCGCUGAACGGGCGGCGGUACGAGGUGGCCGCCGGCGACGUGCACCCCGGAACCACGCUGCUCGAGUUCAUCCGGACCAGGACGCCCUUCACCGGCACCAAGCUCGGCAGCCUCGGCUGCGGCGAAGUGUGGUGCUCUCGAUCAUGCGUACCAUUGCUUUCCGUGACUUUUGCGUCGACAUGCGUACGUUGUGGUCCGAGCGUACACCAUUAG
rnacentral:rRNA from 1 species